AACGAACGCUGGCGGCAGGCUUAACACAUGCAAGUCGAACGCCCCGCAAGGGGAGUGGCAGACGGGUGAGUAACGCGUGGGAAUCUACCCAGUUCUACGGAACAACAGUUGGAAACGACUGCUAAUACCGUAUACGCCCUACGGGGGAAAGAUUUAUCGGAAUUGGAUGAGCCCGCGUAAGAUUAGCUAGUUGGUGAGGUAAUGGCUCACCAAGGCGACGAUCUUUAGCUGGUCUGAGAGGAUGAUCAGCCACACUGGGACUGAGACACGGCCCAGACUCCUACGGGAGGCAGCAGUGGGGAAUAUUGGACAAGGGGCGCAAGCCUGAUCCAGCCAUGCCGCGUGAGUGAUGAAGGCCUUAGGGUUGUAAAGCUCUUUCAGUAGGGAAGAUAAUGACGGUACCUACAGAAGAAGCCCCGGCUAACUUCGUGCCAGCAGCCGCCGUAACAC
rnacentral:rRNA from 1 species